UCAGACGAUGCGUCAUGCAUAUCAAUAAGCGGAGGAAAAGAAACUAACAAGGAUUCCCUUAGUAACGGCGAGUGAAGCGGGAAGAGCUCAAAUUUGAAAUCUUAAAGGGUUUCCCUUUACGAAUUGUAGUUUAAAGAAGUGUUUUCUGUUAGAGUUUCGGUAAAAGUUCUUUGGAAUAGGACAUCAUAGAGGGUGAGAAUCCCGUAUUUGACCGUUAUUUCUAGCUUUGUGAUACACUUUCAAAGAGUCGGAUUGUUUGGGAAUGCAGGUCCAAAAUGGGUGGUAAAUUUCAUCUAAAGCUAAAUAUUGGCGAGAGACCGAUAGCGAACAAGUACCGUGAGGGAAAGAUGAAAAGAACUUUGAAAAGAGAGUUAAACAGUACGUGAAAUUGUCAAAAGGGAAGCGUUUGACACCAGUGUUGUUUUCUCGAAAAUCAAUUAAAAAAGGCAGGAUUUUGUGUUGUAUUGACUUUAUCAGCUUUCUGCACUCUUUUCUUGUCUUUUUUUAAUGCACUUUUCGUUUAACAAGUCAACAUCAAUUUCUUUUGUUGUAAAAGGGUCAUUGGAAGGUGGCUUUCUUUUCGGAGAAAGUGUUUAUAGCCUUUGGCCUCCGCUAAUCGGAGAGAUUGAGGUCUGCAGCGUAGAUCCUUCGGGGUUAGAUACAUUUGUGCUAAGUUAUAGUCCUUUCAUAGACAACUUGUUGACUAUAAUCUAUCAUGUAGCUUACUCGCUUAUGCUAUUUUACCUACGCUUAGGAUGUUGAUCUACAGAGCGAGAGU
rnacentral:rRNA from 1 species